CGGAGGGUGCGAGCGUUGUCCGGAAUCACUGGGCGUAAAGGGCGCGUAGGCGGAGCGAGGAGUCAACGGUGAAAGCUCGGGGCUCAACCCCGAGUCGGCCGUCGAUACUCUCGUGCUGGAGCACUGUAGAGGCAGGUGGAAUUCCGGGUGUAGCGGUGGAAUGCGUAGAGAUCCGGAAGAACACCGGUGGCGAAGGCGGCCUGCUGGGCAGUAGCUGACGCUGAGGCGCGACAGCGUGGGGAGCAAACAGGAUUAGAUACCCUGGUAGUCCACGCCGUAAACGAUGGGCACUAGGUGCUUGGGGGAGCGACCCUCUGAGUGCCGGCGCUAACGCAUUAAGUGCCCCGCCUGGGGAGUACGGCCGCAAGGCUG
rnacentral:rRNA from 1 species